rnacentral:rRNA from 1 species
GUUAGGAAUAUUGGACAAUGGGCGCAAGCCUGAUCCAGCCAUGCCGCGUGAGUGAUGAAGGCCUUCGGGUUGUAAAGCUCUUUAGCCGAUGAUUAUAAUGACUGUAGUCGGAAAAUAAGCCCCGGCUAACUUCGUGCCAGCAGCCGCGGUAAUACGAAGGUGGCGAGCGUUAUUCGGAAUCACUGGGCGUAAAGCGUGCGUAGGCGGCUUUGCAAGUUGGGAGUGAAAGCCCAGGGCUCAACCCUGGAAUUGCUCUCAAAACUGCAAGGCUCGAAUUCGGGAGAGGAUAGCGGAAUUGUCAGUGUAGCAGUGAAAUGCGUAGAUAUUGACAGGAACACCAGUGGCGUAAGCGGCUAUCUGGACCGAUAUUGACGCUGAGGCACGAAAGCGUGGGGAUCAAACAGGAUUAGAUACCCGUGUAGUCC